rnacentral:rRNA from 1 species
AGUGAACGCUGGCGGUAGGCCUAACACAUGCAAGUCGAACGGCAGCGCAGUAAGAGCUUGCUCUUGCGGGUGGCGAGUGGCGGACGGGUGAGGAAUACAUCGGAAUCUACUUUUUCGUGGGGGAUAACGUAGGGAAACUUACGCUAAUACCGCAUACGACCUACGGGUGAAAGCAGGGGAUCUUCGGACCUUGCGCGAUUGAAUGAGCCGAUGUCGGAUUAGCUAGUUGGCGGGGUAAAGGCCCACCAAGGCGACGAUCCGUAGCUGGUCUGAGAGGAUGAUCAGCCACACUGGAACUGAGACACGGUCCAGACUCCUACGGGAGGCAGCAGUGGGGAAUAUUGGACAAUGGGCGCAAGCCUGAUCCAGCCAUACCGCGUGGGUGAAGAAGGCCUUCGGGUUGUAAAGCCCUUUUGUUGGGAAAGAAAAGCAGCAGGUUAAUACCCCGCUGUUCUGACGGUACCCAAAGAAUAAGCACCGGCUAACUUCGUG